CGUAUUGAAACACCGGUUCUCAUCCGAUCACCGAAGUUAAGCAACGUCGAACCUGGUCAGUACCUAGAUGAGUGACCGUUUGGGAAUAUCAGGUGCUGUAA